UACGUAGGGGGCAAGCGUUGUCCGGAAUUAUUGGGCGUAAAGCGCGCGUAGGCGGCCCGGUAAGUCCGCUGUGAAAGUCAAAGGCUCAACCUUUGAAUGUCAGCGGAUACUGCCGGGCUAGAGUCCGGAAGAGGCGAGUGGAAUUCCUGGUGUAGGCGGUGGAAUGCGCAGAUAUCAGGAGGAACACCAACGGCGAAGGCAGCUCGCUGGGACGGUACUGACGCUGAGGCGCGAAAGCGUGGGGAGCGAACAGG
rnacentral:rRNA from 1 species